rnacentral:rRNA from 1 species
GAUGAACGCUGGCGGCGUGCCUAAUACAUGCAAGUCGAGCGAACAGACGAGGAGCUUGCUCCUCUGACGUUAGCGGCGGACGGGUGAGUAGCACGUGGAUAACCUACCUAUAAGACUGGGAUAACUUCGGGAGGCCGGAGCUAAUACCGGAUAAUAUAUUGAACCGCAUGGUUCAAUAGUGAAAGACGGUUUUGCUGUCACUUAUAGAUGGAUCCGCGCCGCAUUAGCUAGUUGGUAAGGUAACGGCUUACCAAGGCAACGAUGCGUAGCCGACCUGAGAGGGUGAUCGGCCACACUGGAACUGAGACACGGUCCAGACUCCUACGGGAGGCAGCAGUAGGGAAUCUUCCGCAAUGGGCGAAAGCCUGACGGAGCAACGCCGCGUGAGUGAUGAAGGUCUUCGGAUCGUAAAACUCUGUUAUUAGGGAAGAACAAAUGUGUAAGUAACUAUGCACGUCUUGACGGUACCUAAUCAGAAAGCCACGGCUAACUACGUG